AGUUUUACCUAAGUCUACCAGAACGUACCAGAUCCUAUUUAAUCUUGGAAGCUGAACAGGAUCAGACUUGAUUAGUACUUGGAUGGGAGACCACCAAUCAAUAUCAAGUGUUGCAGGUU
rnacentral:rRNA from 1 species